rnacentral:rRNA from 1 species
GACGAACGCUGGCGGCGUGCUUAACACAUGCAAGUCGAACGGAAAGGAACUGCUUUUGUGGGGUGCUAGACUAACACACAAAUGAGUAACAAGUGAGUCACCUGCACUUGACUUUGGGAUAACUUCAGGAAACUGGGGCUAAUACCGGAUAGGAGCUCCUGCUGCAUGGUGGGCGUUGGAAAGUUUCGGCGGUUGGGGAUGGACUCGCUGCUUAUCAGCUUGUUGGUGGGGUAGUGGCUUACCAAGGCUUUGACGGGUAGCCGGCCUGAGAGGGUGACCGGCCACAUGGGGACUGAGAUACGGCCCAGACUGCUACGGGAGGCAGCAGUGGGGAAUAUUGCACAAUGGGCGGAAGCCUGAUGCAGCAACGCCGCGUGCGGGAUGACGGCCUUCGGGUUGUAAACCGCUUUCGCCUGUGACGAAGCGUGAGUGACGGUAAUGGGUAAAGAAGCACCGGCUAACUACGUG